CUAUACAUGACUCUGCGCAUAUCAAUAAGCGGAGGAAAAGAAACUAACAAGGAUUCCCCUAGUAACGGCGAGUGAAGCGGGAAGAGCUCAAAUUUGAAAUCUUAAAGGGUUUCCCUUUACGAAUUGUAGUUUAAAGAAGUGUUUUCUGUUGAAGGUUUUGGUAAAAGUUCUUCGGAAUAGGACAUCAUAGAGGGUGAGGAUCCCGUAUUUGACCUUUACUUUCAACUUUGUGAUACACUUUCAAAGAGUCGGAUUGUUUGGGAAUGCAGUCCAAAAUGGGUGGUAAAUUUCAUCUAAAGCUAAAUAUUGGCGAGAGACCGAUAGCGAACAAGUACCGUGAGGGAAAGAUGAAAAGAACUUUGAAAAGAGAGUUAAACAGUACGUGAAAUUGUCAAAAGGGAAGCGUUUGACACCAGUGUUGUUUUUCUGAAAAUCAAUUAAAGAACUGUUUAUGCUAAGCUGUUUAGACUUUAUCAGCUAACUGCUUAGUUUUGAGCUUUUCUUUAAUGCACUUUUCAGUUAACAAGUCAACAUCAAUUUCUUUUGCUGUAAAAAAGCUUGAGGAAGGUGGCUUGAGAUUCGUCUUAAGUGUUUAUAGCCUCUUGCCUAUGCAGUCGGAGAGAUUGAGGUCUGCAGCGUAGAUCCUUCGGGGCUAAAUGCAUUUGUGCUAAGUUAUAGCAUUUUAUAGACAACUUGUUGACUAUGAUUUGUCUUGUAGCUUACUCGCUUAUGUUAUUUUACCUACGCUUAGGAUGUUGACAGCAGUAUAGACUGU
rnacentral:rRNA from 1 species